CAGUCGCCGCGGGAAUACAGAGGGUGCGAGCGUUAAUCGGAUUUACUGGGCGUAAAGCGUGCGUAGGCGGCUUCUUAAGUCGGAUGUGAAAUCCCUGAGCUUAACUUAGGAAUUGCAUUCGAUACUGGGAAGCUAGAGUAUGGGAGAGGAUGGUAGAAUUCCAGGUGUAGCGGUGAAAUGCGUAGAGAUCUGGAGGAAUACCGAUGGCGAAGGCAGCCAUCUGGCCUAAUACUGACGCUGAGGUACGAAAGCGUGGGGAGCAAACAGGAUUAGAUACCCCCGUAGUCCCUGUCUCUUAUAC
rnacentral:rRNA from 1 species